GGCGAGCGGCAAACGGGUGANUAAUGNCUGGGGAUCUACCCCAUGGAGGGGGAUAACUANUGGAAACNAUAGCUAAUACCNCAUAAUGNCAUAAGANCAAAGUGGGGCAUUANCCUCACACCAUUGGAUGAACCCANAUGGGAUUAGCUAGUANGUGAGGUAAUGGCUUACCUANGCGACGAUCCCUANCUGGUCUGAGAGGAUGACCAGCCACAUUGGAACUGANACACGGUCCAGACUCCUACNNNAGGCAGCAGUGGGGAAUAUUGCACAAUGGGGGAAACCCUGAUGCAGCCAUGCCGCGUGUGUGAAGAAGGCCUUCNGNUUGUAAAGCACUUUCANCNGGGAGGAAGGCGUUAAUGUUAAUAACAUUAACNAUUGACAUUACCUGCAAAAGAAGCACCGGCUAACUCUGUGCCAGCAGCCGCGGUAAUACCGAGGGKGCGAGCGUUAAUCGGAAUUACKGGGCGUAAAGUGUACGCAGGCGGUUUGUUAAGUCAGAUGUGAAAUCCCCGGGCUUAACCUGGGAACUGCAUUUGAAACUAGCAGGCUAGAGUCUCAUAGAGGGGGGUAGAAUUCCAGGUGUAGCGGUGAAAUGCGUACAGAUCUGGAGGAAUACCAGUGGCGAAAGCGACCCCCUGGAGGAAGACUGACGCUCAGGUACCAAAGCGUGGGGAGCAAACAGGAUUAGAUACCCUGGUAGUCCACGCCGUAAACGAUGUCGAUUUAAAGGUUGUAGCCUUGAGGUAUAGCUUUUGAAGCUAACGCGUUAAAUCGACCGCGUGGGGAAUACGGCCGCAGGGUUAAAACUCAAAUGAAUUGGCGGGGGCCCGCACAAGCGGUGGGACAUGUGGUUUAAUUCGAUGCAACAAGAAGANCCUUACCUACUCUUGACAUCCAGAGUACUAUGGANAGANNCAUAGGUGCNUUUGGGNANUCUGAGACAGGUGCUGCAUGGCUGUCGUCAGCUCGUGUUGUGAAAUGUUGGGUUAAGUCCCGCAACGAGCGCAACCCUUAUCCUUUGUUACCANCGAUUUNGUCGGGAACUUAAAGGAAACUGCCGGUGAUAAACUGGAGGAAGGUGGGGACGACGUCAAGUCAUCAUGGCCCUUANGAGNAGGGCUACACACGUGCUACAAUGGCGCAUACAAAGAGNAGCAAUCUCGCGAGAGUUAGCNAACCUCAUAAAGUGCGUCNUAGUCCGGAUNGGAGUCUGCAACUCGACUCCAUGAAGUNGGAAUCGCUAGUAAUCGUGGAUCAGAANGCCACGGUGAAUACGUUCCCGGGCCUUGUACACACCGCCCGUCACNCCAUGGGAGUGGAUGCAAAAGAAGCAAGUAGCUNAACCUUAGGAU
rnacentral:rRNA from 1 species